rnacentral:rRNA from 1 species
AUUGAACGCUGGCGGCAGGCCUAACACAUGCAAUUCGAACGGUAACAGGAAACAGCUUGCUGUUUCGCUGACGAGUGGCGGACGGGUGAGUAAUGUCUGGGAAACUGCCUGAUGGAGGGGGAUAACUACUGGAAACGGUAGCUAAUACCGCAUAACGUCGCAAGACCAAAGAGGGGGACCCUCGGGCCUCUUGCCAUCGGAUGUGCCCAGAUGGGAGUAGCUUGUUGGUGGGGUAACGGCUCACCAAGGCGACGAUCCCUAGCUGGUCUGAGAGGAUGACCCGCCACACUGGAACUGAGACACGGUCCAGACUCCUACGGGAGGCAGCAGUGGGGAAUAUUGCACAAUGGGCGAAAGCCUGAUGCAGCCAUGCCGCGUGUAUGAAGAAGGCCUUCGGGUUGUAAAGUACUUUCAGCGGGGAGGAAGGGAGUAAAGUUAAUACCUUUACUCAUUGACGUUACCCGCAGAAGAAGCACCGGCUAACUCCGUG